UAGCCUCAAUGGCGCUGCCCAUGCUGUCAACCAUUCAUUUUAUAAUGGAUUUUAUAAACACUUAAGGGCUGUGUUUUGUGUAGGCUUACCCUAGUGUGACAUUUUGAUAACCGUGUAAAACUCUCAAAGGUUACUUAUCAAUAUAUUCACCUGUAUUUACACGCAAAAAAAUGAAAUGCUAAUUAGCUGCUAAUGUGGCUAUCAUAAAGAACUACAAAUACCAUGGUGAUCGGGACGAAUCGAGUCAAAGGCUACAUGUGGAGACGCAGAGACGCCCAACUCAGUGGAAAAUGUGCUUCCUUCCAGCAGGCAGCGUUUUUUUUUGCCCACCAAGCAAGUUUCUGUAUGGAGGUCAAUGAGGGUCGAAUUUGGCCAACAACAAAAAAUGCAUCACUUAUUUGCUGCAUGAGGUUUAUUUGAUCUAAUAGAAGUUCAGUAAUGCUUAAGUUGUUACGAGUGUACUUAUAUAAGUAACAUCCUGGCAACUUGAGAAAAAACACUUAAUAUCGGAGAUGGCUCUGCAUAUUCAUAGUAUGAAGCUAGUAGCAUAGCGUCUCUCUCGAUUGACGUCACCCUCUUGAAUAUUUAAAAUUAGAUUACAAUAAUGAGCUGUAUCCACCAAUCCAAAGAAAGGAUAAGCAACCCGCCGCGCUGCUAUGUGGACAACGACUCCCAUUGUUAGGCCGGAGAUAUAUUGUAUCUUGUCACUAUAUCCAUAAUCUUUGCUACAGGUUGGAGUCCUCUCUGUAGCACGUUUGAUAUCUUUCCAUCUUGAGGUACACCGCAGUUUGUUGUACUUAUAUUUGUUAGACAAGUACGUUUUUUUAAAGACCAUGUAUUUAUCGUCAGUAUUUUGUUUUAUAAUUUCCUUUGGCGCACAAGGAUAUGACCUAGAUGUUUACAAUUUAAUUUCCCAUCAUACACUUCGGUUUCCGUUAUUCUGACGUUAUUUCCCCUUUCUCUAAUCACGGUCAGCCAACAUGUCGCAUGCGAAAGGAGUCUACAGUUUGCUCUUCAGGAGAACAUCUACUUUUGCCAUUACCAUCAUGUUCGCAGCAGUGUUUUUUGAAAGAAUAUUUGACCAAGGAGGAGAUGCCAUGUUCGAGCAAUUGAAGUCUAUUGACAGAUCUUCUCGUAACCUCAUUUAGCCCGACAUUGCUUAGGACAACUGCCAAUGGUUGGCGUAAAGCCCAAAUCAAACAAAGUGUUUUACGCGCUGGAAUGAUGCCGCGUUCAAAACAACUGGGAACACAGAACUCGAAAAUCACCGACUUUAAAAAACAACUGGGAACUCGGAAAAAACGAUUUGAAUGGUCUUCCAAGUCUGAGUUUUAUAACGCGGCCCGAGUUCCCGAGCUGGAAUUCCAGUCAGAGUACCCAGUUGUUUUGGACUCUCAGAAUUCGGAGGUUCCCAGUUCCGAGUAGUUUUGAACUGGCACUCGAAAGCACUUGUAGUGAAAGAGCGCAGACGGACCGUGGCGUCAAAUUAGAAAAAACUCUGGAAACACAUCAAAUACCAAAACGAGGAGGAAUAAAGAAGUGGCCUUAUGUUGCGGCAGAAAUGAAGCAAACGCCACACUUCAAUUUCCAUUCCUGAGUCGGUCUUUGUGAACCAUCACCUCCAUUGACCUGUCACUGCGAAGCUGAUUGUUCGCUAUCAGAAACUCCAUGGCAUGGGAGUUUAAAAAAGACUGAUCAAAACAUGGAAGUGUUUCAACUUGACCUUGUAUACUGUGAUCUCCUCUCCCUCACCAUUUGUAAAUGUACAGAUACUUUAAAACUGUUAAUAAAUUCAAAGUAAGCAUGCUUUGAUUUGUAGAAUCAGUUAAGUAGCUAGCUCGCCAUCAACUGUACUUGACAUUUGUCUCUUGUUAGAUAUUGCACACUGUUACCCCACCACAUCUACUAUUUUAGCAUUGUAGAAGGCAACAAGAUGUCUAGUUAAUCACUUUAGUACAGUGCUGUGGAGUUCUGUCGUGGAGAUUGUUUUGCAUUGCACAUCAAUAACUUUGGACUGUGGGGCAGUAAUAUUUGGCCCAUUUUUUUUAUUUAUUAGGAUCCCAUAACUGGUAAUGAGACCUGAUUGUGUUGCCAUUAGGUAUGACUAUGGACUUAUUGAAUAGUGUUAUUAAUGGAUGCUGUGAGAAGUACGCAAACGUCAGAAAUAGCACCUAUCCACAAGUCAAAGAAAGCGCAAAUCCAAUACAGGUCAAAGGUCAACAGCACUGGGUUUAUCCUUCAGUCAGUCCUAGAAGAAACACAGGCCUAUUCCUAAUUAGAUUUGCUCAACUUCUGUGUCGUCUCUAGCCUCCUUUUGAACAGGUCAAGGUGAGCCUGUGAGAAGACAAAGUGGACACAUCCGCUUGUAUGAAAUUACUCCAAUUGCGCAUCAGGCAAAUGACUUACAGGGUGGAAUCCUAAAAUAAAUGUAUCUAGUUGUGCAAUACAUUUAAUAAAGGGUUAAGUAGCAUAUUGUUCUUAAAUGUCUGCAUGCUCUUCUCCUUCGGAAAAAUAAUAGCUUGAUUCAAAGGGGGUAGGAUACACUUGUCUAUUCAGGUAGAAUAUACCUGUGCUUCCUUGCCAGAAGGAGGCUAUUGAUUAAGGGAGGACCAUAGGAGAUUCUCGUAUGGGAAAAAGACCAUCCUCUUGCCUCAGUCCUCCUCUGUGACCCGGAAAUCGAUGUGGUCGAGGAAUGUGUCAAUUCGUUAGAACACUCUGUUUGCCUACUAACUUUUAUUUGUUUGGAUCACUUUACACAUUUUAUUUGGGCUUCACCCCUGUAAACAUAAGUUGCCUUAUGUGGAGGUUCUCCUGUAAAUGUAAUUUGCCUGAUCUCUCCCUCGCCAUUUGUAAAUGCUGAUACUUUAAAACUGUUAAUAAAUUCAACAUAAACAUG